GCCCGUCAAGCUCAGGUGGUAGAGCGCCGGACUGAAAAUCCGGAGGCUGCCGGUUCGACGCCGGCGAUGGGCA
rnacentral:tRNA from 1 species